UUGGACCCCUAGCCUGGGAACCUCCAUGUGCCGUGGGUGUGGCCCCCAAAAGACAAAAAGACCCCCCCCAAAAAGAACCUCCUUCACAGCCCUCCAAGGGAGUACUUCACAAAGCACAAAUGUCAAAUUCAUCUGCACCUGGGAAACACCAUGCAGACACCUCAGAGAGCACCAUGUGAUGACACUCAGCCAAACACUUCCCCGCGGAAAAACAUCAGAGCAGCAGGCAGAAGUCAGAAGCACAUUGGCUCUAGAAGAUGAUACUAACUUUCUCAAAGAGGAAAGCCAGCCCCCAAGAUUUUCAUCCUAUUAUGCAGUGAAAGCAAGGCAAGGAUUCAGAUGGCACUUUCUCAAAUUCAAGGAUUCUGUCAGAAGAAAUACGAGAGCCAAAUGCCAUAUGAUAUUCAGGCAACACCACCUCCAGGAAAUCUGCUGUCCUUGCUUCACUUCAGGACCGGGCGAGGCAGAAUUGGGAGGCAGGACUGUGGCGGUGGAUGGUGAGAUGGCUGUUAGUCUGGAAAUGCACUGGCUGGAUCCCAGUGUUUCUGAGUUCCCCUGUUAUUUUCCGCAUAACGAUUUCGUAGGAACAAGCUCAUGCUAAGAAAUUCCUGAAAGACUUCCUUCAGACAUGGUGCCUGGAGCUGUAGAACAUUUUGUGACUAUAAGGAAAGGCCAAGAGAAUUGCAGAACUGCCAGCCAGGAGAUCGUUGAACUGUUGAACCAAAACCAGAAGCCACCUCCAGAUUUCUUGUUGUGUAAGAAAAAUAACCCUCAUAUUGUUUGCCUCAUAUUCUGUUACUUGUCACUGAUGAAAUUUCUAACUGACACAGGAAGACAAUAAAUUCAUAUUUGGCUCUGUUGAGUUCUAGAUAUGAUGGGAAAUCCAGAUGAAGUGGUCCAGGAGACAGAUGGAAAUAUGACUGGAGUUCUGGAGAGAGGUUUGGACUGUAAGUUAAGGUUAAAGAUUCAUCAGCAAAUGUUGAUAAUGGAAACCAAUGGUCUCCAAAGUUUUGCUCACGCAGCCCCAAAAAGAAUUAUGAAAAAAUGUAUUCUCCCUUGCACAUUUCUCCCAAUAUUUUAUUAUGAAUGUUUUCAAGCACACGAAAAAUUUGAAAUAAUUGGGCAGUGUACACCAUCCACUCAGCACCUAAAUUCUACCAUAAAUAUCAUU